AUGCACAAAGACUUGUCCCAGGAUACAUCCCCACCAAAACUCCUGAUGAUGAAGGCCAAUGCUUCACCGGGCACCUCUCGGUUCAGGAAGAGCUUCAGGCCUUCAAAGAGUUUCUUGUGCUUUUCCUGUAUCUCCAGCCCUUCCCUUCCAUCUUCCUCCUGUCCUGUCGCCUCCCUGUCAGUAGGAAACUCAUCAGCCUUCUUUAGCAGGCACCACCAGUCGGCCCAGGCUGGCACUGAGGGCAGCCAGUUUCUCCGUAGAGCUCUCAGAGUCCAACGCAUAUGUGUCCUCAGUGACCUUUGUCCCUGCUUGGGCUUGACUUUCGAUCUUGGGCUUUGCGGAACUUCCGGACAAACACCUUGUAUUCUCGGAACUUGACCAUGGGUUCGUGGAGGAGGAAUUUAAUAUCUUUGAUAAGGUAAAAUGUUCGGGCUGCUGUGGAACCCUUGUUAACUUUCUUCUUAUGCUUGGGUUCAUGAGGAUAAAUGCCUUUCAGGAUGCACAGCCGCCUGAAAUCAGGCAGGCUCAGCUGUAGCCUCUUCCGGGCUUUGUUUCGAGUGAUGUAAUUGUGGCAGAGCCUCGCUCUUACUUCUCCAGAGGUCCCAUAGCUCCACGUUCGGAAAGUCCUAAAAGCGGAGCGGAAAGGCCCACACGUUACUUCUUGACCAUGCUGUGUGCCAAGUUCCUUUCUGGGUGGUAGGAACGCAGGGCCGGAUGCCCACUUGGUGAGGUCUCUGUUUUGAUGGAGUUUGUAUUUGCUGGGCCAAGAGAGAGAGCGAAUGAGGGGAUGAAGUCUAAAAUGAUGUAAGCUCCAGAACUUUCUAACUCUAAUAAAAUACGUAAAAAAAAAAAUGGCUAGACAGAUGGAGGAGGGAAGAGAUUUUAACAUGAGAAGGACCCAUAGGGAGAUCUAGACAGAUAAUCUAGACAAGGACGGCACAUACAAGAGCCCUGAUAUGAGAAUAAAUAUGCAGUUUCUAGCAAAGCAAAAAAAAAACUAGUGCAGAAUAUCACAAUGUGUAAGAGCUAGUGAUGGCUUGAGGUAGGGUUGGGAUAGUGACCUACUAAGUUCUUGAAUCUGGUCCUGCCAACUGGACCCAGCAUAGCAUGCAGGGGUGCAAGACCAGAGCGGGACUUAACUUAGCAGAUAGUUUUACUUACUGAAAUGGAGGAUAUAAGAGGUUUUCUCUCUGGGGUUUGUUAUGUGUUUUAUUUGGAAUUUGAAAAAAUACACACCACAUCCAAGAAGAGAUGACAGGUAACAGAAUAUUGGAGUACAGAGCCCAAAUCAGGCUAGAAAUGGUGCAUUUCUCUGCUGCUGGCUACUUCCUUCUGUUUGUAUAGUUUGUGAGAAUGAAUCCCGGUCACAUGCAUUGAUGUGCUAGAACCACAGGAUCUGAGAGUGGAAAAAACCUAUGUCAAUAAGACUUGGUCCUUUGUUCCAGGAAAUUUCACCCAUAGAAGAUAAGACGCAAAGCCAAUAAAUCGCCUCAAUGCUUGCUCCAGGAAACCCCUGCAAAUAAGAUUAUCUGAGACACAGGCGGAUCAUGCACUAAGCCCCCACCUCAGCUCACUUACCAAGACUUACUUUAAGACUUUUACUUCAGUAUGCCAACCAACCCUAACCAAUUACACCCAGAGUUUACCCAGCCAAUCUGCUUGCUACUGUGAGAUGCCUGUGAUCAAACCUCUCUGACGCCAGUCCUGCGCGACUGCCGUAUCUGCCGCCUACAAAGAGUAAAGAAUAUUCUAUUUUUUGUCAUCUGUAUUGGUAAUAGGUAUGCAUAUGUAAAUAACCCCUUUCCUUACCUUCUCUGAAACUCACAACCUAUUGAGGUACCUGAAUUGGG
rnacentral:lncRNA from 1 species